rnacentral:rRNA from 1 species
GAUGAACGCUGGCGGCGUGCUUAACACAUGCAAGUCGAGCGAGUGAGUUCUUCGGAACGAUCUAGCGGCGGACGGGUGAGUAACACGUGGGCAACCUGCCUCAUAGAGGGGAAUAGCCUCCCGAAAGGGAGAUUAAUACCGCAUAAAAUUAUCGAGUGGCAUCACACGGUAAUCAAAGGAGCAAUCCGCUAUGAGAUGGGCCCGCGGCGCAUUAGCUAGUUGGUGAGGUAACGGCUCACCAAGGCGACGAUGCGUAGCCGACCUGAGAGGGUGAUCGGCCACAUUGGGACUGAGACACGGCCCAGACUCCUACGGGAGGCAGCAGUGGGGAAUAUUGCACAAUGGGGGAAACCCUGAUGCAGCAACGCCGCGUGAGUGAUGAAGGUCUUCGGAUUGUAAAGCUCUGUCUUUGGGGACGAUAAUGACGGUACCCAAGGAGGAAGCCACGGCUAACUACGUGCCAGCCGCCGCAGUAA